rnacentral:rRNA from 1 species
UACGUAGGUGGCAAGCGUUGUCCGGAAUUAUUGGGCGUAAAGUGCGCGCAGGCGGCCUCUUAAGUCUGAUGUGAAAGCCCCCCGGCUCAACCGGGGAGGGCCAUUGGAAACUGGGAGGCUUGAGUAUAGGAGAGAAGAGUGGAAUUCCACGUGUAGCGGUGAAAUGCGUAGAGAUGUGGAGGAACACCAGUGGCGAAGGCGACUCUUUGGCCUAUAACUGACGCUGAGGCGCGAAAGCGUGGGGAGCAAACAGG